CCUACGGGUGGCAGCAGUGGGGAAUAUUGGGCAAUGGGCGCAAGCCUGACCCAGCAACGCCGCGUGAAGGAAGAAGGCUUUCGGGUUGUACACUUCUUUUCUGAGGGACGAAGAACGUGACGGUACCUCAGGACUAAGCCACGGCUAACUACGUGCCCGCAGCCGCGGUAAUACGUAGGUGGCAAUCGUUUACCGGAUUUAUUGGGGGUAAAGGGCGUGUAGGCGGGAAAGCAAGUCAGAUGUGAAAACUCAGGGCUCAACCCUGAGCCUGCAGUUGAAACUGUUUUUCUUGAGUGCUGGAGAGGCAAUCGGAAUUCCGGGUGUAGCGGUGAAAUGCGUAGAUAUACGGAGGAACAACAGUGGCGAAGGCGGAUUACUGGAAAGGAACUGACGCUGAGGCGCGAAAGCGUGGGGAGCAAACAGGAGUAGAUACCCGUGUAGUC
rnacentral:rRNA from 1 species